UACGUAGGGGGCUAGCGUUGCUCGGAAUUACUGGGCGUAAAGGGAGCGUAGGCGGAUAGUUUAGUCAGAGGUGAAAGCCCAGGGCUCAACCUUGGAAUUGCCUUUGAUACUGGCUAUCUUGGGUGUGGGAGAGGUAUGUGGAACUCCGAGUGUAGAGGUGAAAUUCGUAGAUAUUCGGAAGAACACCAGUGGCGAAGGCGACAUACUGGCCCAUUACUGACGCUGAGGCUCGAAAGCGUGGGGAGCAAACAGG
rnacentral:rRNA from 1 species